CAGGAAAUUGUUACUAUCAGCUUCAAUCAAAGAAGCCUCUCUCUGCAGUGAAUGGCAGUGGAUAUAGACUCAUAGAUGCUCCAGGUCACCAUAAUGUGUCAGUUUAUUAUAAUGGCAAGUGGAGUAGAGGAAGGGUCCAGGACUGUGCCAAGGCCAUCUGCACAAGACCAAUGGAAUGGCAGAGAGGGAAGACGGGCAAAGGAUGCUGGUUUAAAUACUGUACCAGCUGUCACACAUGUGAACUCCGCUGUCACUGAAAGAGCCGUGUGGUUUAGUGAAGUGACCAGCAUUCAGUUCUUUAUGACAAAAAAAUCUAAGGAGAGCUGAUGAUGGAUGGCAAUUGACAAGAAAGUUAAGGUUUUCUCCUUUUACUGUGUGGAUACCCAGGGAUUGAACUCCACUCACAGGCUGCGGCCACCCUUAGCUGCUGAACCAUCACCAGCCCUCUGAGUCUCUGCUUUCCAAAGAAGGAAGGAAGCAACACUGGAAGAGAACUAUCACUUAAAUGGCUUGAGUUCACAACUUAAAAAUUCAAACUCGUGCUGGAGAGAUGGCUCAGUGGUUAAGAGCACUGACUGCUCUUCCAGAGGUCCUGAGUUCAAAUCCCUGCAACCACAUGGUGGCUCACACCCAUCUG